rnacentral:rRNA from 1 species
UACGUAGGGGGCAAGCGGUUGUCCGGAUUUAUUGGGCGUAAAGAGCGCGUAGGCGGUCCGAUAAGUCGGCUGUGAAAGUCAGGGGCUCAACCCUUGAAAGCCGGCCGAUACUGUCGGACUAGAGUCCGGAAGAGGCAAGUGGAAUUCCCGGUGUAGCGGUGAAAUGCGCAGAUAUCGGGAGGAACACCAAUGGCGAAGGCAAGCUGCUGGGACGGUACUGACGCUGAGGCGCGAAAGCGUGGGAGCAACGGG